rnacentral:rRNA from 1 species
UUAAGCGACUAAGCGUACACGGUGGAUGCCCUGGCAGUCAGAGGCGAUGAAGGACGUGCUAAUCUGCGAUAAGCGUCGGUAAGGUGAUAUGAACCGUUAUAACCGGCGAUUUCCGAAUGGGGAAACCCAGUGUGAUUCGUCACACUAUCAUUAACUGAAUCCAUAGGUUAAUGAGGCGAACCGGGGGAACUGAAACAUCUAAGUACCCCGAGGAAAAGAAAUCAACCGAGAUUCCCCCAGUAGCGGCGAGCGAACGGGGAGCAGCCCAGAGCCUGAAUCAGUGUGUGUGUUAGUGGAAGCGUCUGGAAAGGCGCGCGAUACAGGGUGACAGCCCCGUACACAAAAAUGCACAUGCUGUGAGCUCGAUGAGUAGGGCGGGACACGUGGUAUCCUGUCUGAAUAUGGGGGGACCAUCCUCCAAGGCUAAAUACUCCUGACUGACCGAUAGUGAACCAGUACCGUGAGGGAAAGGCGAAAAGAACCCCGGCGAGGGGAGUGAAAAAGAACCUGAAACCGUGUACGUACAAGCAGUGGGAGCACGCUUAGGCGUGUGACUGCGUACCUUUUGUAUAAUGGGUCAGCGACUUAUAUUCUGUAGCAAGGUUAACCGAAUAGGGGAGCCGAAGGGAAACCGAGUCUUAACUGGGCGUUAAGUUGCAGGGUAUAGACCCGAAACCCGGUGAUCUAGCCAUGGGCAGGUUGAAGGUUGGGUAACACUAACUGGAGGACCGAACCGACUAAUGUUGAAAAAUUAGCGGAUGACUUGUGGCUGGGGGUGAAAGGCCAAUCAAACCGGGAGAUAGCUGGUUCUCCCCGAAAGCUAUUUAGGUAGCGCCUCGUGAAUUCAUCUCCGGGGGUAGAGCACUGUUUCGGCAAGGGGGUCAUCCCGACUUACCAACCCGAUGCAAACUGCGAAUACCGGAGAAUGUUAUCACGGGAGACACACGGCGGGUGCUAACGUCCGUCGUGAAGAGGGAAACAACCCAGACCGCCAGCUAAGGUCCCAAAGUCAUGGUUAAGUGGGAAACGAUGUGGGAAGGCCCAGACAGCCAGGAUGUUGGCUUAGAAGCAGCCAUCAUUUAAAGAAAGCGUAAUAGCUCACUGGUCGAGUCGGCCUGCGCGGAAGAUGUAACGGGGCUAAACCAUGCACCGAAGCUGCGGCAGCGACGCUUAUGCGUUGUUGGGUAGGGGAGCGUUCUGUAAGCCUGCGAAGGUGUGCUGUGAGGCAUGCUGGAGGUAUCAGAAGUGCGAAUGCUGACAUAAGUAACGAUAAAGCGGGUGAAAAGCCCGCUCGCCGGAAGACCAAGGGUUCCUGUCCAACGUUAAUCGGGGCAGGGUGAGUCGACCCCUAAGGCGAGGCCGAAAGGCGUAGUCGAUGGGAAACAGGUUAAUAUUCCUGUACUUGGUGUUACUGCGAAGGGGGGACGGAGAAGGCUAUGUUGGCCGGGCGACGGUUGUCCCGGUUUAAGCGUGUAGGCUGGUUUUCCAGGCAAAUCCGGAAAAUCAAGGCUGAGGCGUGAUGACGAGGCACUACGGUGCUGAAGCAACAAAUGCCCUGCUUCCAGGAAAAGCCUCUAAGCAUCAGGUAACAUCAAAUCGUACCCCAAACCGACACAGGUGGUCAGGUAGAGAAUACCAAGGCGCUUGAGAGAACUCGGGUGAAGGAACUAGGCAAAAUGGUGCCGUAACUUCGGGAGAAGGCACGCUGAUAUGUAGGUGAAGUCCCUCGCGGAUGGAGCUGAAAUCAGUCGAAGAUACCAGCUGGCUGCAACUGUUUAUUAAAAACACAGCACUGUGCAAACACGAAAGUGGACGUAUACGGUGUGACGCCUGCCCGGUGCCGGAAGGUUAAUUGAUGGGGUCAGCGCAAGCGAAGCUCUUGAUCGAAGCCCCGGUAAACGGCGGCCGUAACUAUAACGGUCCUAAGGUAGCGAAAUUCCUUGUCGGGUAAGUUCCGACCUGCACGAAUGGCGUAAUGAUGGCCAGGCUGUCUCCACCCGAGACUCAGUGAAAUUGAACUCGCUGUGAAGAUGCAGUGUACCCGCGGCAAGACGGAAAGACCCCGUGAACCUUUACUAUAGCUUGACACUGAACAUUGAGCCUUGAUGUGUAGGAUAGGUGGGAGGCUUUGAAGUGUGGACGCCAGUCUGCAUGGAGCCGACCUUGAAAUACCACCCUUUAAUGUUUGAUGUUCUAAC